GAUCCUGGCUCAGGAUGAACGCUAGCGGCAGGCUUAACACAUGCAAGUCGAGGGGCAUCGGGAGUAGCAAUACUGCCGGCGACCGGCGCAAGGGUGCGUAACGCGUGAGCAACAUGCCCGUAUCAGGGGGGAUAAUCCAUGGAAACGUGGUCUAAUACCCCAUAGUAAUUAUGUAAGGCAUCUUAUAUAAUUUAAAGCUUUGGUGGAUACGGAUUGGCUCGCGUGACAUUAGCUAGAUGGUAAGGUAACGGCUUACCAUGGCUACGAUGUCUAGGGGUUCUGAGAGGAAGGUCCCCCACACUGGAACUGAGACACGGUCCAGACUCCUACGGGAGGCAGCAGUGAGGAAUAUUGGACAAUGGAUGGAAAUCUGAUCCAGCCAUGCCGCGUGCAGGAAGACGGCCCUAUGGGUUGUAAACUGCUUUUGUAUGGGAGCAAUAAGGGCUACGCGUAGUCCGAUGAGAGUACCAUACGAAUAAGCACCGGCUAACUCCGUGCCAGCCGCCGC
rnacentral:rRNA from 1 species